GACGAACGCUGGCGGCGUGCUUAACACAUGCAAGUCGAGCGGUAAGGCCCUUUCGGGGGUACACGAGCGGCGAACGGGUGAGUAACACGUGGGUGACCUGCCCUCAGCUCUGGGAUAAGCCUGGGAAACUGGGUCUAAUACUGGAUAUGACUCCACGGUGCAUGUCGUGGGGUGGAAAGCCUUGUGCGGCUGAGGAUGGGCCCGCGGCCUAUCAGCUUGUUGGUGGGGUGANGGCCUACCAAGGCGACGACGGGUAGCCGGCCUGAGAGGGCGACCGGCCACACUGGGACUGAGACACGGCCCAGACUCCUACGGGAGGCAGCAGUGGGAAAUCUUGCGCAAUGGGCGAAAGCCUGACGCAGCGACGCCGCGUGAGGGAUGACGGCCU
rnacentral:rRNA from 1 species